rnacentral:rRNA from 1 species
GGGUUGUGAGGUUAAGCGACUAAGCGUACACGGUGGAUGCCCUGGCAGUCAGAGGCGAUGAAGGGCGUGCUAAUCUGCGAUAAGCGCCGGUAAGGUGAUAUGAACCGUUAUAACCGGCGAUACCCGAAUGGGGAAACCCAGUGUGAUUCGUCACACUAUCAUUAACUGAAUCCAUAGGUUAAUGAGGCGAACCGGGGGAACUGAAACAUCUAAGUACCCCGAGGAAAAGAAAUCAACCGAGAUUCCCCCAGUAGCGGCGAGCGAACGGGGAGGAGCCCAGAGCCUGAAUCAGCAUGUGUGUUAGUGGAAGCGUCUGGAAAGGCGCGCGAUACAGGGUGACAGCCCCGUACACAAAAGCGCAUGUGCUGUGAGCUCGAUGAGUAGGGCGGGACACGUGGUAUCCUGUCUGAAUAUGGGGGGACCAUCCUCCAAGGCUAAAUACUCCUGACUGACCGAUAGUGAACCAGUACCGUGAGGGAAAGGCGAAAAGAACCCCGGCGAGGGGAGUGAAAAAGAACCUGAAACCGUGUACGUACAAGCAGUGGGAGCNNGUGACUGCGUACCUUUUGUAUAAUGGGUCAGCGACUUAUAUUCUGUAGCAAGGUUAACCGAAUAGGGGAGCCGGAGGGAAACCGAGUCUUAAUUGGGCGUUAAGUUGCAGGGUAUAGACCCGAAACCCGGUGAUCUAGCCAUGGGCAGGUUGAAGGUUGGGUAACACUAACUGGAGGACCGAACCGACUAAUGUUGAAAAAUUAGCGGAUGACCUGUGGCUGGGGGUGAAAGGCCAAUCAAACCGGGAGAUAGCUGGUUCUCCCCGAAAGCUAUUUAGGUAGCGCCUCGUGAAUUCAUCUCCGGGGGUAGAGCACUGUUUCGGCUAGGGGGCCAUCCCGGCUUACCAACCCGAUGCAAACUGCGAAUACCGGAGAAUGUUAUCACGGGAGACACACGGCGGGUGCUAACGUCCGUCGUGAAGAGGGAAACAACCCAGACCGCCAGCUAAGGUCCCAAAGUCAUGGUUAAGUGGGAAACGAUGUGGGAAGGCCCAGACAGCCAGGAUGUUGGCUUAGAAGCAGCCAUCAUUUAAAGAAAGCGUAAUAGCUCACUGGUCGAGUCGGCCUGCGCGGAAGAUGUAACGGGGCUAAACCAUGCACCGAAGCUGCGGCAGCGANNUGCUGGAGGUAUCAGAAGUGCGAAUGCUGACAUAAGUAACGAUAAAGCGGGUGAAAAGCCCGCUCGCCGGAAGACCAAGGGUUCCUGUCCAACGUUAAUCGGGGCAGGGUGAGUCGACCCCUAAGGCGAGGCCGAAAGGCGUAGUCGAUGGGAAACGGGUUAAUAUUCCCGUACUUGGUGUUACUGCGAAGGGGGGACGGAGAAGGCUAUGUUGGCCGGGCGACGGUUGUCCCGGUUUAAGCGUGUAGGUGUGUGUUCCAGGUAAAUCCGGUUCACUUUAACACUGAGGCGUGACGACGAGGCACUACGGUGCUGAAGCAACAAAUGCCCUGCUUCCAGGAAAAGCCUCUAAGCAUCAGGUAACAUCAAAUCGUACCCCAAACCGACACAGGUGGUCAGGUAGAGAAUACCAAGGCGCUUGAGAGAACUCGGGUGAAGGAACUAGGCAAAAUGGUGCCGUAACUUCGGGAGAAGGCACGCUGACACGUAGGUGAAGUGAUUUACUCAUGGAGCUGAAGUCAGUCGAAGAUACCAGCUGGCUGCAACUGUUUAUUAAAAACACAGCACUGUGCAAACACGAAAGUGGACGUAUACGGUGUGACGCCUGCCCGGUGCCGGAAGGUUAAUUGAUGGGGUCAGCGCAAGCGAAGCUCCUGAUCGAAGCCCCGGUAAACGGCGGCCGUAACUAUAACGGUCCUAAGGUAGCGAAAUUCCUUGUCGGGUAAGUUCCGACCUGCACGAAUGGCGUAAUGAUGGCCAGGCUGUCUCCACCCGAGACUCAGUGAAAUUGAACUCGCUGUGAAGAUGCAGUGUACCCGCGGCAAGACGGAAAGACCCCGUGAACCUUUACUAUAGCUUGACACUGAACAUUGAGCCUUGAUGUGUAGGAUAGGUGGGAGGCUUUGAAGUGUGGACGCCAGUCUGCAUGGAGCCGACCUUGAAAUACCACCCUUUAAUGUUUGAUGUUCUAACGUGGACCCGUAAUCCGGGUUGCGGACAGUGUCUGGUGGGUAGUUUGACUGGGGCGGUCUCCUCCUAAAGAGUAACGGAGGAGCACGAAGGUUGGCUAAUCCUGGUCGGACAUCAGGAGGUUAGUGCAAUGGCAUAAGCCAGCUUGACUGCGAGCGUGACGGCGCGAGCAGGUGCGAAAGCAGGUCAUAGUGAUCCGGUGGUUCUGAAUGGAAGGGCCAUCGCUCAACGGAUAAAAGGUACUCCGGGGAUAACAGGCUGAUACCGCCCAAGAGUUCAUAUCGACGGCGGUGUUUGGCACCUCGAUGUCGGCUCAUCACAUCCUGGGGCUGAAGUAGGUCCCAAGGGUAUGGCUGUUCGCCAUUUAAAGUGGUACGCGAGCUGGGUUUAGAACGUCGUGAGACAGUUCGGUCCCUAUCUGCCGUGGGCGCUGGAGAACUGAGGGGGGCUGCUCCUAGUACGAGAGGACCGGAGUGGACGCAUCACUGGUGUUCGGGUUGUCAUGCCAAUGGCACUGCCCGGUAGCUAAAUGCGGAAGAGAUAAGUGCUGAAAGCAUCUAAGCACGAAACUUGCCCCGAGAUGAGUUCUCCCUGAGACUUAGAGUCUCCUGAAGGAACGUUGAAGACGACGACGUUGAUAGGCCGGGUGUGUAAGCGCAGCGAUGCGUUGAGCUAACCGGUACUAAUGAACCGUGAGGCUUAACCUUA